UUGUUCGGGUAAUCGCUGUGCAUCUUGAUGCGCAGAGGAAAGUCCAUGCUCGCACAGUCUGAGAUGACUGUAGUGUUCGUGCCUGGCGAAGUCAUAAGCCAGGGCAGUUGCAUUCAUGCGGCUGACGGCAGGUGAUACAGCCUAAGUCCCGAUGGGAUAUGGCAGUAUGGACCUUGAAAGUGCCACAGUGACGGAGUCUGUAUGGAAACAUCCAGAGUGGAACGCGGUAAACCCCACGAGCGAGAAACCCAAAAUUUGGUAGGGGCACUGUCGCAAAGGAAUAAAACGGAGUGACGGAAAGAACAUUUGUUCUUUAGACAGAUGAUUGCCACCCUGAACAUACCUCACCGUUUGGUAUUUCAGGGGACAGAACAUGGCUUACAGAG
rnacentral:RNase_P_RNA from 2 species